ACGCUCGACACCUACGGGAGCAGCAGUAGGGAAUCUUCCACAAUGGACGCAAGUCUGAUGGAGCAACGCCGCGUGAGUGAAGAAGGUUUUCGGAUCGUAAAGCUCUGUUGUUGGUGAAGAAGGAUAGAGGUAGUAACUGGCCUUUAUUUGACGGUAAUCAACCAGAAAGUCACGGCUAACUACGUGCCAGCAGCCACGGUAAUCUGAGCGGGCUGGCAAGGC
rnacentral:rRNA from 1 species